rnacentral:rRNA from 1 species
CGAACGUUAGCGGCGGGCUUAACACAUGCAAGUCGAACGAGAAAGAGUCCUUCGGGGCUUGAGUAAAGUGGCGCACGGGUGAGUAACAAGUGGGUAAUCAACCCUCCGGCGGGGGACAACCACUGGAAACGGUGGCUAAUACCGCAUACGUCCUGAGACUCUUCGGGGUUUUAGGAGAAAGGCUUCGGCCUCCGGAGGACGAGCCCGCGUCCCAUCAGCUUGUUGGUGAGGUAAAAGCUUACCAAGGCGAAGACGGGUAGCUGGUCUGAGAGGAUGAUCAGCCACACUGGGACUGAGACACGGCCCAGACUCCUACGGGAGGCAGCAGUGGGGAAUAUUGGACAAUGGGCGAAAGCCUGAUCCAGCCACGCCGCGUGUGUGAUGAAGGCCCUCGGGUCGUAAAGCACUGUGGGGAAGGAAGAAGUUCUGACGGUACUUCCUUAGCAAGCACCGGCUAACUCC